rnacentral:rRNA from 1 species
GGCUUAGAAUCAACGCUGGCGGCGUGCCUAACACAUGCAAGUCGAACGAGAAAGUGGAGCAAUCCAUGAGUAAAGUGGCGACCGGGUGAGUAACACGUGACUAACCUACCCUCGAUGGGGGGAUAACUCCGGGAAACCGGAGCUAAUACCGCAUAACAUCGCAAGAUCAAAGCAGCAAUGCGCUUGGGGAGGGGUCGCGGCUGAUUAGCUAGUUGGCGGGGUAACGGCCCACCAAGGCGAAGAUCGGUAUCCGGCCUGAGAGGGCGCACGGACACACUGGAACUGAAACACGGUCCAGACUCCUACGGGAGGCAGCAGUGGGGAAUUUUGCGCAAUGGGGGAAACCCUGACGCAGCAACGCCGCGUGGAGGAUGAAGCCCUUUGGGGCGUAAACUCCUUUCGACCAAGACGAUAAUGACGGUACUGGUGGAAGAAGCACCGGCUAACUCUGUGCCAGCCGCCGC